UUGAUUUUAGAUUGGAUUUUGAACUUUUUUCUUCAACCCUCAACCAUAAAUUGUGGUUUGAAUUUUUACCAUUACUUUAGAAAGUUCGGGAGCAUUCACAUUAAAAUGUUUGGUUCUAUUCAAGUUGGGGAGAAAAGGUUGAUUACUAAGAAGUUGAGAAAGAAAAAUAAAAAAUUGAAAAAAUAAAGAAAUAAAAUAAAAGUGAAAAAUAAAA
rnacentral:lncRNA from 1 species